rnacentral:lncRNA from 1 species
GAAAUAGAAUAAGUAAUAAAAGAUAAUCUAUGUUUUCUUAUCCAAAUCAAACUAUAUAUAUAGAGCAGGGUUGCUGUACUCAUAAGUUAUUUUUAAUAAUAGAGCUUCCGAAUCGAUAAUUCGUAUCAUUAAAUAUGAUUUAGAGCAUUUGAAACUUUUAGAAAAUAAAUUUCGUAACUUUUCAAAAUUAUAUUAAAAUCAAUCAAGUGGGCAUAAAACGAAUCGAACGACUUUUCAAAAAUAGAGGAUGGGAUACUUCAACUUAAAAUCGGAGCUAUUGAUCAUUAUUUAGAUAGUAAUAAAAUUUUUCAAAUAUUCAAUCGAUAUCGAUUUUUUUACACUGUUAAACUAGCAAAUAUUCCAUACCGACUGUGAAAAAUUAUCAAUCUUGAGAUUUUUUAAUCGUAAAGUAAAUGAUGUCAAAAAAAAUUAUGAAACUAGAUUUUUAGAAGUUUCAACUUUCAAAAGUUCUAAAUAAUAUUUAACGGUAUGAAUUGUUGAUUCGGAAACUCUAUUAUCGAAAGUAGGAAGGCAAUUAUACUCAUAACAGUAUAGUAGCAGGACUUCUAUAUAUAUU